UACGUAGGUGGCAAGCGUUGUCCGGAUUUACUGGGCGUAAAGAGCGCGCAGGCGGUCGUUCAAGUCGAGUGUGAAAGCCCCCGGCUCAACUGGGGAGGGUCACUCGAUACUGAUCGACUCGAAGGCAGAAGAGGGAAGCGGAAUUCCCGGUGUAGAGGUGAAAUUCGUAGAUAUCGGGAGGAACACCAGUGGCGAAGGCGGCGAUCUGGGAAGAUACUGACGCUGAGGUGCGAAAGCGUGGGGAGCAAACAGG
rnacentral:rRNA from 1 species